rnacentral:rRNA from 1 species
GACGAACCGUGCAAACGUUGAUCGGAUUCACUGGGCUUAAAGGGCGCGUAGGCGGGUGGUCAAGUCGGGGGUGAAAUCUCGGAGCUUAACUCCGAAACUGCAUUCGAUACUGCCGUGCUUGAGGACUGGAGAGGAGACUGGAAUUUACGGUGUAGCGGUGAAAUGCGUAGAUAUCGUAAGGAAGACCAGUGGCGAAGGCGGGUCUCUGGACAGUUCCUGACGCUGAGGCACGAAGGUCAGGGGAGCAAACGGG